GGUGGUGCACUGGUUAAAGUGUUUGGCUGCUAACCAAAAGGUUGGUGGUUUGAACCCACCAGCCACUC
rnacentral:tRNA from 1 species